rnacentral:rRNA from 1 species
GACGAACGCUGGCGGCGUGCCUAAUACAUGCAAGUUGAGCGCUGAAGGUUGGUACUUGUACCAACUGGAUGAGCAGCGAACGGGUGAGUAACGCGUGGGGAAUCUGCCUUUGAGCGGGGGACAACAUUGGGAAACGAAUGCUAAUACCGCAUAAAAACUUUAAACACAAGUUUUAAGGUUGAAAGAUGCAAUUGCAUCACUCAAAGAUGAUCCCGCGUUGUAUUAGCUAGUUGGUGAGGUAAAGGCCCACCAAGGCGAUGAUACAUAGCCGACCUGAGAGGGUGAUCGGCCCCCUUGGGACUGGGACACCGCCCCAACUCCUUCCGGGGGCAGCCGUAGGGAAUCUUCGGCAAUGGACGAAAGUCUGACCGAGCAACGCCGCGGGAGUGAAGAAGGUUUUCGGAUCGUAAAACUCUGUUGGUAGAGAAGAACGUUGGUGAGAGUGGAAAGCUCAUCAAGUGACGGUAACUACCCAGAAAGGGACGGCUAACUACGUG